UACUCUCCAUCUUCUCACCUCAUCACACACAGAGAGACUAUGGCUCCCAAAUCCUCCUUUCUCUCUCAUCAGCCCUCCAAAGACGAAGACGAGAGAGAGGAAUCAUCCUCCGGCGAAGAAGAAGAAAAAGAAGACGAAUCAGAGCCGCAAUCUUCCUCCGACGACGAAACGGAGGCGGGCUCCUCCUCCGAGGAAGCCCCAAAUCGACGAACCCUAGAAAGUCUCAAUUCCCCAAUAUCAGCUCCCAAAUCGGCCUCGCGAGGUAAUAGAUUGGAUUCCGACGCCGAUUCCGACGGCUCCCCUUCCAAUUACAUGCUACAGCCGAUCCGCAAGGGCUCCGUCUCCUCAUCGAAGCGCAGCCGUGAUGAGAUUCAGGAGGAUUUGUUGAGGAGCUAUAAGAGCUCGAGAAUUGAGGAGAAGAAAUCUCCUUCCACUCCGGCGGGAGGUGGUGGGGGUGGGGGUGGGGGUGGGGGUGGGCUGGGGUGUAUCAAUAGGCUGUGGAGUAACGAGGAUGAGAUCGCCGUGCUAAAUGGGAUGAUUGAAUUCAAAACCGCCAAGGGUUUCGACCCGAACGCGGAUAUGGGGGCGUUUCACAGCUUCAUCAAGGGGAAAUUGAAGGUGGAUUUCUCGAGGGAUCAGCUGAGGACUAAGAUUACAAGGAUGAAGAAGAGGUUCUUGAAUGCUUUGAAGAAGGGCGCGGACCCUGUCUUCUCGAAGCCUCACGAGGAUACGGCAUUCGUGCUCUCGAAGAGGAUUUGGGGGAAAAGUGAGAAUGCGAAGAAGAAGGUGGAGAAGGAUGUGGUGGAUGAGAGAGAGGCUGUGGAGAGAGAAAGGGAUGGCGAAGGAGAGGACUUUUGGUCCAAGUACCCGAACAUUAAUGCGUCCUUUGAUACUAUGAAGGCGAACUUCCCCUCCCUCGUUGCUCCCGUGGCUGGGAUGAGUUUGUUGAGGGAGAGGUUGAGUUUGAUCGGGAAUGUGAAGGCCAAGGCAUUGGAUAAUAAGUGGAAGCAGUUGCUUGUGGAGGAGAGUGAGCUGAGUUACAAGAUUUUGAUGUUGAUGAAGGAACAGGUUGAAAUGGCUUUGGAUCAAUGAUAGGGUUGACAAUUGCUAAGUUGGUAUUUUUGUGCUUUAUUUUAUACUCCCCUUUUAAAGUUAAUUGUGAUUCUUUGUUUUCAUUAGGAUAAU
rnacentral:lncRNA from 1 species